GCCAGACUCCUACGGGAGGCAGCAGUGAGGAAUAUUGGUCAAUGGGCGCGAGCCUGAACCAGCCAAGUCGCGUGAGGGAAGACGGUCCUAUGGAUUGUAAACCUCUUUUGUCGGGGAGCAAAAGACGCCACGUGUGGCGUCCCGAGAGUACCCGAAGAAAAAGCAUCGGCUAACUCCGUGCCAGCAGCCGCGGUAAUACGGAGGAUGCGAGCGUUAUCCGGAUUUAUUGGGUUUAAAGGGUGCGCAGGCGGAUUUUUAAGUCAGCGGUCAAAUCGUGGGGCUCAACCCCAUCCAGCCGUUGAAACUGGGGAUCUAGAGUGUGCGAGAGGUAUGCGGAAUGCGUGGUGUAGCGGUGAAAUGCAUAGAUAUCAUGAAGAACUCCGAUUGCGAAGGCAAGUGUCCGGGGUGCAACUGACGCUGAGGCUCGAAAGUGCGGGUAUCAAACAGGAUUAGAUACCCCGGUACUU
rnacentral:rRNA from 1 species